CAAAAACAAAACAAAACAAAAAG
rnacentral:sRNA from 1 species